rnacentral:rRNA from 1 species
UACGGAGGGAGCAAGCGUUGUCCGGAAUUAUUGGGCGUAAAGAGCUCGUAGGCGGUCUGUCACGUCGGCUGUGAAAACCCGAGGCUCAACCUCGGGCCUGCAGUCGAUACGGGCAAACUAGAGUACUGCAGGGGAGACUGGAAUUCCUGGUGUAGCGGUGAAAUGCGCAGAUAUCAGGAGGAACACCGGUGGCGAAGGCGGGUCUCUGGGCAGUAACUGACGCUGAGGAGCGAAAGCGUGGGGAGCGAACAGG